rnacentral:rRNA from 1 species
GUGGUACCAGACCGGCUCGUCAAGGCCUGAUCCCGUCAGGUCUCAGGCGCUAAGCGGGACCGGGCUGGUUAGUACUGGGAUGGGAGACCGCUGGGAAAAUCAGGUGCUACA